AUGGGCUUCCUUCGGUCUUGGCAAAACCGGUGGACUCAUCGCCGACGGCGCCCUCUGACAUCCGCAAGGUGCAUAGUCCACGUCUGCAGCUCCGUCAUAGUGCAUUUUUUUGCGCCUCCGGCUUUGUGCGGUUUCAUCAUCCAUGACGACCACACCAUCGACCACGACUACCUCGACCACGGCUACAUCAACAUCGACAUACACGACCACGUCUACAGCAACACAUCGGUGACAACUCCAGUCAACAGCGUCCGCGUCGUCACCAGCAUCCACGCCACUCCCGCUGUGACUGCGGGAGGGAAUAGGGGAGAGACAAGGGAGGCACUAGAAGGGGGCGCAGUCACCGUCCUAGGUGCCGACCCAUCAGAGACGCAGUUGAUGAUGGCGCGGCGGAGAAGACGACGAAAGCACAAGAGUUGA
rnacentral:rRNA from 1 species